rnacentral:SRP_RNA from 2 species
UCUUUAGACCUGUGCAAUGAUUGCUUAGGAUAAUGGGUCAGGGUAGGAAUACAGCAGCCCACCCUGAGUAGUUAUGUGCCGCAGGUAUCUGGAGAAGA